rnacentral:sRNA from 1 species
GCACGAAUGGUCCUGAUUGAAUUUACAGU